rnacentral:rRNA from 1 species
UACGUAGGGUGCGAGCGUUGUCCGGAAUUAUUGGGCGUAAAGAGCUUGUAGGCGGUUUGUCGCGUCUGCCGUGAAAGCCCAGGGCUUAACCCUGGGUCUGCGGUGGGUACGGGCAGACUAGAGUGUGGUAGGGGAGACUGGAAUUCCUGGUGUAGCGGUGAAAUGCGCAGAUAUCAGGAGGAACACUGAUGGCGAAGGCAGGUCUCUGGGCCACUACUGACGCUGAGAAGCGAAAGCAUGGGGAGCAAACAGG